GUGAACACCUGAGCCCUCCACCUGAAGAGCAACAUGGAAAGUUUGGAUUAGAGGAAGGAGCGCUGUUUGUUCCCUGCACAUAUUUUCAGGGUCUAAGCACAGUCAGCACCAUCUGAAGUUUGGUUCAGCAGAAUUGAGGAAAUCUUGGCCUCCACAAAGAAGAAAAGUCCUAAACUGGAAAAGUGUUAAAACUACAGAACUCCAAAACAUACUUAAUCCUGGUGUGAUGCACGA